rnacentral:misc_RNA from 1 species
AAAACGUGUCAAGGUUUGUGUUCAAGGGUCUAUGGGGCAAGGCGCGCUUGCUGGAAUGCCACUGCAACUUUCGGGUACUCGAAAGAUCUUGGAGUUUAUGGAUUGGGGGGAUUAUGGAGCUCUGGGAACGUUUAUCAAGAUUGGAUCUAUAGGUGCAAGAGAAGUUGAGGAACAGGAUGACAUCUUCAUAUUAGUAGCACCUCAAAAUGCAGUAGGGAAUUGCAUUAUAGAUGAUCUAAAGGCCAUGA